UACGUGAGGGUGCAAGCGUUGUCCGGAAUUAUUGGGCGUAAAGAGCUCGUAGGCGGUCUGUCACGUCGGCUGUGAAAUCCCGAGGCUCAACCUCGGGUCUGCAGUCGAUACGGGCAAACUAGAGUAUUGCAGGGGAGACUGGAAUUCCUGGUGUAGCGGUGAAAUGCGCAGAUAUCAGGAAGAACACCCGUGGCUAAGGCGGCUCUCUAGUACGUGACUGACGCUGAAGACGCGAAAGCGUGGGGAGCGAACAGG
rnacentral:rRNA from 1 species